CUAAUUAAUUUGUUAGUUGUGACAGCUACAUAUACAGGCAUGCAGAUGCAGGUCUAUUGUUAGCCUGCAGGUCAUACUCAGACGCGGUCCCUCAACGAGCCGAUGAAGCCUACGGACCGUUAUGAGCAAGCUGAAUCCAUCGGCAGGAACGCUGCACUUCCACACCUCAGCUGAAACUGAAAUAUCAGUUGCUACACGUUCUGAAUUCUGAUCACCAUGACCCCCUCCUUGCCCUCGCUGUUGCUCCUCCUCCUGCUGGCCUUGUGGCCGGCACCCUACCUCGCAGCGCGCGCCGGCACCGGCGCCAGCGACCACGGUUUCACGCACAUCCACCUGUACAUGCACGAGACCUUCGCCGGCCCGAACGCCACGACGCUCACGGCGGUGCCGUCGCCGCUGGGCGCCGACGCGACGUUCGGGGCGAUCGGCGUGCUCGACGACGAGCUGCGCGACGGGCCGGACGCGAGGAACUCGUCGCUCGUCGGCCGGUACCAGGGCCUCUUCCUCAACGCGGGGCUCGUGAGCCCGCCGGGUGCGCAAUCGGCGAUCAACCUCGUCUUCACGGCCGGCGAGCGCCGCGGGAGCACGCUGGCCAUGCUGGGCCCCGUGCUGAGCUUCACGAGCGCCAUCGAGCGCGCCGUGGUGGGCGGCACCGGCGCCUUCAGGAUGGCGCGCGGGUACUGCGUCAUGACGCGCGCCGGCAGCCCCACGCCGGAGUCCCUCGUCUACGAGGUCGACCUGUUCCUGGACAUGUACCAUGCCUGAUCGAUGGUUGUGCCUGUUGGUUUGUGUGCGCACGGUGCUAUCGUUCAAAAUCGGACCAAUGGGUGAGCGGCACGUGCUUUAAUGGGGAUACAGCCAGGACCAUAUGAUUCUAAUUGGCGCGGGGGCAUGGAGAGAUCGAGUUUGCGACCACUUCCAUUCCGUCCUACUAGAUCGGAAACGCGCCUUGGCGCGAGGGUACCGGUCACAACAAUGUGUCCAAACAAAUAUUGCUCAAUUUAAUAGGAAGUCGGGUUUAGCGACGUAUUCAAACAUGAUACAACAAACUAAAAGGAAGAGGAAACAUUCACAUGUAAUAGGAGGAAAACAUCAUUGAGAUUGACAUCGGCAUGAGAAAUAAGGCAGCAUUCAAUUUAGUAUGUUCAUGAGACCACAAAAGGUAACCACUUGAUAUUAAGCUCGGUACUAAGAGCGUGAAUAUGAGAGAGGAAGUACCAAGAGCAGGAACAUAAUAUAAAUAAAUAAAAACUACGUAGCCAUAGCUUCUUAGGCAUACUACUUAGUUGCUUCAUUCGGCUGCCUUCUCGAUCAACUCCAUAGAUGGCACGUCACUUAACCUGAUGCAGGCAAUGUGUUAGAUAUAUUGCAUAGACCAAUUUAUGUGUAGACAAAAAAUGCACUUGCAUUUUUGUACCUUAGCCUUUUAAAGCUUAUAACCAGGGAGUGAUGGUUCCCCUUUUCAAUUUUGAAAGCAAAGACACAUAUGAUACUCUCUGAUCCCUGCCGCUUUGACAGAGCUUGACCAAUUGUUUGUUAUUGUUGGUCUCUUGUCCGUAUCCAGGUGCACUCAUCCAACCCGGUAAUACAACCAUUGAAGCAUUGCAUAUAAAACAUGGCAUUAUCUAUGAACUGACCCACUACUACAAUGCCUCUCAAUUAUGAUGUGGACUUAAUCAAAGUGGUGCUACUUGCCCAACCCCAACUCCCACAGAAUCCCGUUUUUCCUAACCCGGUAAUAGAAAAAAAUAGGUAUCUCAGGAUGGAAAUGUAGGGACUAUCUCAGGAUAGAAAUGUAUCAAGGAAUUAAUCAACUAAGUUCAAUGAUCAAACCUUUGAUAUAAAUAUUUCAAUUAACAUCUGAUAUUACUCAAUAUAUCUCAGGAUGGAAAUAUAUCUGAGUAGGUGAUGGUAGAUACUCACAGUAGUAAUCACCCCAUAAAAUAUAUCUAAAAAGAUGACCCUAUAUAUGCAUGCCAUCGACGCAUUUGUUAUAAAAUAUGACGUGAAAUACCUCGCUUUGGUAUGAUAGAAACCAAAAGAUAAAUAUCAUGCAUUUAUUUGUUUGGCCAGACCUUUUGCCCAAAGAAACUGAAUCUCUCAUCACAACAAAGUUCAAGUAAACUGCAAAUUUGCACUACGAUGGGCGAGUGGAUAAGAGACAGAGAACUAUAGCAGCACAAUAAGCCUCUGAAGCAAAGAAGAAGGCUCAGUGAUGACAUCGACAGCCUUGUCAUACAACGACAAAAAUGGCUUGAGCUGUUCAAAAAAAUGAUGAAAUCAAAAUGGGGGAGUAAUUUCUUUAGGCAAACACUGAAUCAAAAUCUUAGUGGUUGGUUUACCGACAACCAGUAUAUGAGGUAUGUUUACUAUUUAUGGGACUUGUCCAUUUAAGCCUUAAUAUCCCAAUUACGGAUAUUUUGGUAAUUUAUAUGACGCACUGUAAAAAUAUUAAGCACUCACAAUUGAUUAUUUCCUAAUUGGUCACCUAAACACCCUUUAAUAUACUGUGACAAGUAAUGUUAUAAGUCAUCAAGCUCUUUAUGAUAUUUUCUACUUCAGAUUCCAAGUCGCAUUAAAUGAGUGCACAAAAGAGAAUAUAAAAAUAAAAAGGCUCAAGGUACUUCUGACAGAACUCAUCUCAGUGUUAUUUUGGUAUAUAGCUUAAGCCCUGGAUCAACUAAGCUAGCAUGGUAGAUUUUUCUUCUUAAUGAAAGCACAUAUAUGUAAGAGCAUGCAGAAAGGGUCAAAGAGCUAGAAUCCUAUAAAAUACAGAAUCCAUCUUUCGACACAGGGAACAAUUAUAUUUAUAUUUGAUACAGAACAUGCACUUGUGAAUUGGCAGGUAAUAUGAAGGUCAUGUAUGGGAAUUUUACCUUCGCUUUCAGUGACACAUAUCAGAUCAUCUUCCCCUCGACCCUUUCAUGAUGUGGUUGCUGCCGGUGCUCUAGGAAGAACAAAGUUGUUUUAAUAGUAAUUUUGGAAAACACAUGGUGAUUGGGAAAAGCAAAGUUUAAAUCACAUAACAGAUCAAGUUCAAUUAAU